AUCUUAUCAAGAGCGGUGGAGGGACUGGCCCUAUGAAACCCAGCAACCAAAAAACAUUCAUUAGUUUUUAUGGUGCUAAAUCCUGCAGGUAAAACCUGGAAGAUAAGAG
rfam:Clostridium chauvoei JF4335, WGS project CBML01000000 data, contig: 00001